AGUGAACGCUGGCGGUAGGCCUAUCACAUGCAAGUCGAACGGCAGCACAGUAAGCGCUUGCUCUUACGGGUGGCGAGUGGCGGACGGGUGAGGCAUACAUCGGAAUCUACUUUUUCGUGGGGGACAACGUAGGGAAACUUACGCUAAUACCGCAUACGACCUACGGCUGAAAGCAGUGGAUCUUCGGACCUUGCCCGACUCAAUGAGCCGAUGCCGGAUUAGCUAGUUUGCGGGGUAAAGGCCCACCAAGGCGACGAUCCGUAGCUGGGCUGAGAGGAUGAUCGGCCACACUGGAACUGAGACACGGUCCAGACUCCUACGGGAGGCAGCAGUAGGGAAUAUUGGGCAAUGGGCGCAAGCCUGACCCAGCCAUGCCGCGUGGGUGAAGAAGGCCUUCGGGUUGUAAAGCCCUGUUGUUGGGAAAGAAAAGCAGCGGGUGAAUACCCCGCUGUUCUGACGGUACCCAAAGAGUAAGCACCGGCUAACUUCGUG
rnacentral:rRNA from 1 species